rnacentral:tRNA from 1 species
GGUCGGUUAGCUCAGUUGGUUAGAGCGUGGUGCUAAUAAGAUCCUUCAAUAGAGGCUCAAUAUUGGUACGCCAAGGUCGCGGGUUCGACCCCCGUACUGACCA